UCUCUUACUUUACUCUUUCUCAAUCACCCACACGAUUUCAUCCUUCCAAUUUCUUCUUCCCUCCUCAUUCUCAUCUAACAAUCUUCCCUUUCUUCUCUGAACAAUCGCUGCCGCCACCACCACCAUCGUCCCUCGUGCCCAGCCCGUGCCCGCUGCCACCGUCGUCACUCCUCACUUUCUUCAAACACUGUUAUGCUUGCCACCAUCGUCGGGAGUCCUUUUCUUCAACCAUGUUCACGUCCAGCCCUCGCCACCACCGUCGCCGUCACUACAACAAAUAUACCUUUUAAUAACACCCAACCACAACAUAUUUUAUAAUACGCUUAAACAGAGAAGAGAAUGGCACGAACGAAUCUUGGUCGGAGAAGAGCGAUUUUCCUAACACCCGAAUGGUUCAAAUGGUUCCCUUUCUCUUCUUGGGUUCUCUUCACUUUCCCUUAAACCUCCGGCUUUCUCUAAUGGCGCCAAGAAGUUUCAUGGGGUUGGUCUCAUAAGAGCUUCUGUUGCUGUGGAGCAGCAGGUAGAGAAGACCAAGGUUGCUCUUGUCAGAAUUGGCACCAGAGGAAGGUAACUUUUUUGUUUUGUUGGUCUUUUUUAGAUUCUCUUUUGGUUUAUGGUUUUGGGUUGUCUUUAGUUUCUAAUUUUGAGUUUCUGGCUGAUUUGAGUUUGAUAAUGUGGGGGAUUGAGUUAUUGUUGAAGGGUUUGGAUCAGUUCAAUUUGUGUCUUUCAACUGGGAUUUAAUUUUGCUGUAUUGUAGAAUUGUGAGAAAGUUCAGUAUGUUUCUCAUGUUUGUACUUGAAUCUUUCAAAACUUGUAUGUUGACUUUUGUCCAAAUGAAGUAGUAUGGAAGUUGGUAUUUUUUGUGUGCUUGUAAAUCAGACCAUGAAGAACACGAAAGGGUGGAAAAUUAACAAAAUUAAAGAAAGUAAUAGAUUCCUGAGAACUAACAAUUGUGGAGAACUUCCUUCCUUACUCUCGUGUGUAACUAUGACCCAAUACUCUUCGUGUCUCAUAAUAAGAUUUUUUAACGUAUAGUUAUAAAUUAAUAGAUUCGUUUACUUCAAAUGCAUUUUUGUCUAAUAAUUUUUCUAUAUUUCAUAUCUUCCAAUAUUGAGCUCUCUCCGUAUUUCUUGCAUAAGGUCAUUUUCAUUCUUUGAAGUGUGAAGUAAACUUUCAAUCACUGAAGUUUUCAAUUCUUUGUAGUAUUCUCUGAAGUGUUUGUUAAAUUUGAUAUAAAAUAAGUAGGAAUGGAUGGAUAAUGGAACAGUGGGAAAAGAACUAUUACAUCAGUUCUAUUGUUGGUGCUAAUAAGAACUACAAGGCGUGGGCAUUUUAUUUUGUGCAGAAUCUCAAUGUAAAUUUAAGUCUGUUGGAUUUGAUUUCAAGAUGCUACCAUUCUGCUUCUUAUUUGUAUUUGUAUUUGAUGUGUUUUUUACAUCUCUUUGGACUUGGACAUUUACUUUUUCCGCAUCAAGGGCUCUGAUUUCUCACUUAUGUAUUUUGUGGUCUUGCCUUGGUAUAGUUCCCUUUGUGUUUAUGGUAUAGUUCCCUUUUUCUGCAUCAAGAGGUUUAGGUUCCACUGGUAUGAAUUGCCUCAUCUUCGUGCAUUCAUAGUGUUGUAUCUUCUUGGGUUACCUUUGCUUUGUAGUUCAUGAAUUGGGUUUCAACACUUAUAAUUUGAAGAACAGGGCACUGUAGAAUUGAUGAAAAAGGAAGGAGAAAUGCUCUGCUGCUAUGUGAAAAGAAAUGGGUAACAUUCACUAGGAAGUAGGAUUAAUUGCUAGAGCUGCGGAAGUAGGUUCGUAGUGCUGAAAAUACUAAAAUAUGUUAACAUGUUAAUUGAGCUUUUGUUAGAUGAUCUUGCUAAGUAAAAAAGGUAAUCAAUUUAUUUUUUAUUGUUAUUAUUAUUAUUUAUAGUACCCUUAACUGAGAUUCCUAUAGAUGCUUGGCAGAAACUAAAACUGGGUUUGGUCUGAGUUGAUUUGUUCGAAAUUCAGUCUUGAUUACUUUGCAUUUAUAUAUAUAUUUUUAGACAUAAUGGCAACGAAAAGAGAAUGUAAAAAAAAAACAUAAUUCCAGAAUAUAAUCUUGUUCAUCCUUGUUUGCUUUCAAGUUGCAUUGAGUUUUACAAGCUUAUUUAGGUUCCCCUAUUUAGUACCAAAUGUAUAUUAAUUCAAAAUAGUGUGACAGAAGGAGAAAUAGGUCUAGUGAUGAUGAAUGAUACAUUUUCACUACAAAUGAGUACUUGAAGGCCUUUUAACUUUCUUCUUCUUCUUCUUUAUGUAAUCAAUUUUUGUUGGCAUAAAUGGUGCUCAAGACCUCACUUCCUCGACAAAUGCAUAUUGUAACAAGGUUCACAGGUCUCAGUGGCUCAGAAUGAUUGAAGUCAUCAGAUUGAAAGCUAAGCGAUUGUCUAGAUAGCCAGGCGAUCGUUGAAGGUUGAAAACUGAGAAGACGUUUAGGAUUUCUUAUUUGUAUUAGGAUCUUGUUUCAUGUACUAUUGUAGAAUGUAUAUAUAAACACAAUAUUAAGUUUUCAUUUUGUGUAUUUGUAAAAGAUAAAUAUUGUAGUUUCUAAAAUAAUAUUAAUUUGUUGGAGCGAGAAAAAAAUAUUUAUCUA